rnacentral:rRNA from 1 species
GAGAUGAGUUCUCCCUGACCCUUUAAGGGUCCUGAAGGAACGUUGAAGACGACGACGUUGAUAGGCCGGGUGUGUAAGCGCAGCGAUGCGUUGAGCUAACCGGUACUAAUGAACCGUGAGGCUUAACCUUACAACGCCGAAGCUGUU